rfam:Loxodonta africana unplaced genomic scaffold scaffold_108, whole genome shotgun sequence.
CCAAAGGCUCUUUUCAGAGCCACUUAACCAUUUCCUAAGAAGAACUG